CUGAGCAGCUGGAGUCCGGGCUGCUGAGCAAACCUUUCCGCGGUGCGGGAGAGGAGGAUGGCAGGUGCAUUCUAAUAAGCAGAGAGUGCCGGUGGACGGGAGGAGCGGCGGCCAGCCCAGGUGACGUCAGCUCACAGAUGUUGCUGGCAGAAGGUGGAGGCUCUAAGCAGCCCGAAAAUAGACCACUGCACGGAGUCCUUGCACUGAGAGCUCUCUUUGGCCACCAAGAUGGAAAGACGCCUUGUAGUUAUUGGAAGCAAAAUUAAAAGUUCGGUCAUAUACAGAUGAGGAAACUGAGGCACAGCUCAAGGUCACCCACUUGCUGUACCAAUUAAGGUUAUAAUGGGAAAUGGUAGCACACAAAUAAUUGAAGAAGCUUUGAUGAGAGAACAACCUAUCAAAUUUGAGACUGAGAUCACCAACGUCUGAUCAUUUUUAAAUCUUCAGAAAUGG